AGUUUUGGGCAGCGCAGUACCAUCGCCAAAGAGUUUUUUUCCGAGGUGCAAUUAUUGCUAAUUGAAAGCUUUUCUCAAUACCCCGCUGUGAGGACUUGCAAUAUAGUUGGCACUAUAUUGGCAAUUUUUGACAGUCUCUACAGAGA